rnacentral:rRNA from 1 species
UGGGGAAUCUUGCACAAUGGGCGAAAGCCUGAUGCAGCAACGCCGCGUGCGGGAAGACAGCCCUAGGGUUGUAAACCGCUUUCAGCAGGGAAGAAACUGACGGUACCUGCAGAAGAAGAUGCGGCCAACUACGUGCCAGCAGCCGCGGUGACACGUAGGCAUCAAGCGUUAUCCGGAUUUAUUGGGCGUAAAGAGCUCGUAGGCGGUUCGGUAAGUCGGGUGUGAAAACUCUGGGCUCAACCCAGAGAGGCCACUCGAUACUGCUGUGACUAGAGUACGAGAGAGGGAGGUAGAAUUCCACGUGUAGCGGUGAAAUGCGUAGAUAUGUGGAGGAAUACCGGUGGCGAAGGCGGCCUCCUGGCUCGAUACUGACGCUGAGGUGCGAAAAGCGUGGGGAGCAAAACAGGAUUAGAUACCCUGGUAGUCCACGCCGUAAACGUUGGGCACUAGGUGUGGGUCUCAACCAACGAGAUCCGCGCCGUCGCUAACGCAUUAAGUGCCCGCCUGGGAGUACGGUCGCAAGACUAAAA